AUCGAGACUUAGAGUCACAUCCUUACACUUAUUAUUGUCUUGAUGUGCUUAUAGUUUUCGAAGAGCAAUUACUGAUCUUAUUCACUGGUUGAGCUUUAUAGUUCAGUCAGUUACACAAUCAGUAACAUUG